rnacentral:rRNA from 1 species
AUUGAACGCUGGCGGAAUGCUUUACACAUGCAAGUCGAACGGCAGCACGGGGGCAACCCUGGUGGCGAGUGGCGAACGGGUGAGUAAUACAUCGGAACGUGCCCAGUCGUGGGGGAUGACGUAGCGAAAGUUACGCUAAUACCGCAUACGAUAGACGGAUGAAAGCGGGGGACCGUAAGGCCUCGCGCGAUUGGAGCGGCCGAUGCCAGAUUAGGUAGUUGGUGAGGUAAAGGCUCACAAAGCCGACGAUCUGUAGCUGGUCUGAGAGGACGACCAGCCACACUGGGACUGAGACACGGCCCAGACUCCUACGGGAGGCAGCAGUGGGGAAUUUUGGACAAUGGGCGCAAGCCUGAUCCAGCCAUUCCGCGUGCAGGACGAAGGCCUUCGGGUUGUAAACUGCUUUUGUACGGAACGAAAAGGCUCUGGUUAAUACCUGGGGCUCAUGACGGUACCGUAAGAAUAAGCACCGGCUAACUACGUGCCAGCCGCCGCCGUAA